AGUUCGAUCAUGGCUCGUUGAACGCUGGCGGGAUGCUUUACACAUGCAGAUCCCGAACGGCAGCACGGACUUCGGUCUGGUGGCGAGUGGCGAACGGGUGAGUAAUGUAUCAGGAACACGAUGCCUAGUAGCGGGGGAUAACUACGCGAAGGCGCUAAUACCGCAUACGCCCUUCGGGGGAAAGCGGGGACCUUCGGGCGCUCGCACUAUUAGAGCGGCCGAUAUCGGAUUAGCUAGUUGGUGGGGUAACGGCUCACCAAGGCGACGAUCCGUAGCUGGUUUGAAGAGGACGACCAGCCACUGGGACUGAGACACGGCCCAGACUCCCACCACUGGAGGCAGCAGUGGGGAAUUUUGGACAAUGGGGGGAAACCUGAUCCAGCCAUCCCGCGUGUGCGGUAGAGGCCUUCCGGGUUGUAAAGCACUUUUGGCAGGAAAGAAACGGCCUGGGAUAUUACCCCGUGCAACUGACGGUACCUGCAGAAUAAGCGCCGGCUGUGGUGCCAGCAGCCGCGGUAAUACGUAGGGUGCAAGCGUUAAUCGGAAUUACUGGGCGUAAAGCGUGCGCAGGCGGUUCGGAAGAAGAAUUAACUAAAUCCCAGAGCUUAACUUUGGAACUGCAUUUUUAACUGCCGAGGCUAGAGUGUGUCAGAGGGAGGGUGGAAUUCCGCGUGUGGCAAUUGAAAUGCGUGAUCGCCGGAGGAACUUACCGAUGGCGAAGGCAGCCUCCUGGGAUAACAUGACGCUCAUGCACAGCGUGGGGAAUUAGAAGCAGGAUUAGAUACCCUGGUAGUCCACGCCCUAAACGAUGUCAAUAGCUGUUGGGGCCUUCGGGCCUUGGUAGCGCAGCUAACGCGUGAAGUUGACCGCCUGCUGGGAGUACGGUCGCAAGAUUAAAACUCAAAGGAAUUGACGGGGACCCGCACAAGCGGUGGAUGAUGUGGAUUAAUUCGAUGCAGCGCGAAAACCUUACCUACCCUUGACAUGUCUGGAAUCCCGAAGAGAUUUGGGAGUGCUCGCAAGAGAACCGGAACACAGGUGCUGCAUGGCUGUCGUCAGCUCGUGUCGUGAGAUGUUGGGUUAAGUCCCGCAACGAGCGCAACCCUUGUCAUUAGUUGCUACGAGGCACUCUAAUGGAGACUGCCGGUGACAAACCGGAGGAAGGUGGGGAUGACGUCAAGUCCUCAUAUUCCCUUAUGGGUAGGGCUUCACACGUCAGCACAAUGGUCGGGACAGAGGGUCGCCAACCCGCGAGGGAGCCAAUCCCAGAAACCCGAUCGUAGUCCGGAUCGCAGUCUGCGCUCGACUGCGUGAAGUCGGAAUCGCUAGUAAUCGCGGAUCAGCAUGUCGCGGUGAAUACGUUCCCGGGUCUUGUACACACCCGUCACACCAUGGGAGUGGGUUUUACCGAAGUAGUUAGCCUAACCGUAGGGAGGGCGGUGCCACAGUGAUUCAUGACUGGGGUGAAGUCGUAACAAAGGUAG
rnacentral:rRNA from 1 species